rnacentral:lncRNA from 1 species
UCAUGGUUUGCUAGGAUUGCUGCAGACAUUCGAGAAAGACCAUCAGCUCUAGAAGGAGCCGGUGCAUAUAGUGGGAGGUUUGUCUGUAGGUUAUCGAUUCUCUAUGAGAGGAAAGAAGAAAAAGAUGCAAAAAAACUGUACCGUCGAUCCCAAGCCAAAGCAGAGCAAAAAGUUGAAAGUCAAUUACAGCCAGAUAGAAUGCUUCUUAGUAAGAAGCUGAGUUAUUGAAAAAGAAAUUAUCUGACAUAUAUAGCUUUUCUUGACCUAAAUAGACC